AGUGAACGCUGGCGGUAGGCCUAACACAUGCAAGUCGAACGGCAGCACAGUAAGAGCUUGCUCUUACGGGUGGCGAGUGGCGGACGGGUGAGGAAUACAUCGGAAUCUACUUUUUCGUGGGGGAUAACGUAGGGAAACUUACGCUAAUACCGCAUACGACCUACGUGUGAAAGCAGGGGAUCUUCGGACCUUGCGCGAUUGAAUGAGCCGAUGUCGGAUUAGCUAGUUGGCGGGGUAAUGGCCCACCAAGGCGACGAUCCGUAGCUGGUCUGAGAGGAUGAUCAGCCACACGGGAACUGAGACACGGUCAAGACUCCUACGGGAGGCAGCAGUGGGGAAUAUUGGACAAUGGGCGCAAGCCUGAUCCAGCCAGACCGCGUGGGUGAAGAAGGCCUUGGGGUUGUAAAGCCCUUUUGUUGGGAAAGAAAAGCAGCAGGUUAAUACCCCGCUGUUCUGACGGUACCCAAAGAAUAAGCACCGGCUAACUUCGUG
rnacentral:rRNA from 1 species